UGUCGUGCGAGUUGGCCGCUACCGCUGCACCACGCGAGCCUCCGCGUACCGCCGUUGAACCGUUCGUGUGCCUAUUGGCCUGAACCUACACCUUGUGGGACGCUUGCCAUGCAGCCGCGCAUGGCCGCCUCUAGCCCAGCACGGCCGGUUGCUGGUCACCGAAGGUCAUGCGUCGCAGAUCCAUCCCCGCUGCUCGCCGCAUCCUGUGUCUGCCCGCUGUCGUUGCCAAAUGCGAUCGCUGUGAUGGCUCUCUCUGACCUGAAGUUCGAGCAAGGUUUGGCCUUUGAAGCUUACAUCUGGAAGCAAUUUGGGGUUCCAAUCAAUCAUUUCGACGGGGGCAAACUCAAGGAAUUCUUCUUGGUGGCAGAGGUGACUCGUUCUAAACUUCGUAUCAACUCUGAUUUGGUCAGUCUCAUGCUUCAAUCUUACUUUGGGGGUCAUGCCUCUCGUUUCAAAGUUUCGUGCCUUCAAAAUUGGUCGUUCAAAUUCAGCGUUUCCUCAAAGAGUGUGGGUUUUGCUAUCAUCAAAGGGGGAAAUUGUGUCAAUGAUCUUUUCAGUUUGGGGUUUUUCCUUUGGGGCAAUGGUGGACCAGAUUCCCGCAAAGAGUUCAGGCUGUACCAGCAAGAACUUGAACAGGAAUGGACUGUAGUCAAUCAUUCUGGUGAUCGUCGGUCUUAUUCCGAAGCUGUUCAAACCCCAAGAAUCUUUCCUGGAAAUAAUUCCACCAUUCGUUCUCCGGUUGGAUCUCCGGUCAGAUCUCCGCCUGGAUCGCCGAUCAGAUCUGAUGCUAAUCGAUCCCUUUCAGUUUCUCAGCGCCUGGCUCAAUCAAUGGCACCAUCACACCAGGUGUUAACUGCGCCCAAUAAUGUGGCGAUCGGAGGGGCGGGAUCCACGGAUUUUCAAACUUCUGGGCCGGCCCAUGCUGCUAGGGAGCCCAGCACCCUUUUCUGUAUUCGCUGCCUUGAUGUGGGCCACCUUCGGGCCGGUUGCAAGAAUAAAAUCCGCUGCAGAGGAUGCCGUCGACUGGGCCAUAUCAAAGAGAAUUGCAGGUUUGGAGGUGCGAUUUCCGAGCCGACGCCUCGCAUUCAACCGCCUCUUCUGCAGCAGCCACUUUUGGCUACUGACCGAGACUCACGUCAAUCGCCACAUUUAACCCCACCUGUCAAAGAGGGCAUCAUCCUCCCUGUUCAGUCAAAUCAAGCAAUUACCGCCGGCGCCUACUCGCAUUCGCACCACUCUCCUCCUUCUCUGCAACAACCAGCUCGCUCUUCGAGGGUUUUGACGGACGCGGCGGCUCUGCUCUCGCCGGCAAUGGCUUCGUUCCCCUUCGACCCUGCGUCAUUCCUCCCCGAGGGUUUCCAUGCGAUUGAGGUGGAAGGAAGGCCAGCGCGCCAUCGCGUGCUCCAUGGCAACCUUGUGCCAGCCAACGAAGAUCUUGCCAUUGCAACAAUCAUCCCCAUGCCCCAAGGAGAAGUAAGUUUUCUCAAUGUCCGUGAGAUCCUCCUUGAGUUUCUGCAAUCCAAGUGCAUUGGGGUAACGGAAGUGACGAAGUGUCCCUUUGGACAAGCUUUUGUGAGGGUUCGCAGUGCGGCUGAAAGAGACUUUCUAGUUAAUAGAGGGCCGCAUGCGUAUGAUGACAUUCAUAUUGUCUUCCAAAGGCACAAUGAGGGGCUGAAUUGGAAGAACUUUAAUCUGAAUCGUGAUGUCUGGCUCAUGGUUUUCGGUUUCCCUGCUGACUUAAGGAGUUUUCAUGAACUGUCUAACGCCACUGCAAGUUUCGGACAGUUGAUGGUCUGGGACAGAUACAAAUCUAGUGAUGCCGCGGUAGCACUAAAAGUGAAAGUUGAAGCACUCAAAGAUGUCCCGGCUAGUCUUGUGGUCUCUGGGGCCAAGAAUUUCAGUGGCCAAUCAUGGACUUGCCCUGUUGUGAUUGUUGACGACAACCCUAUUGGAGUUCCACCACCUGAUGAGGACCCAGUUCCUGCAGAUGGCAACCCCCACCCAAGGCCACCAGAACAGUUCCACCAUCCCAAUCAGAACAACCUUAUGGUUGGGCCAGUUGCCUUUCACCUCCUACAGGCUGAGCAACAGGUUCUACCUGUAAUUGAGGAAGUUCCAGUACACAAUGAUGAAGAUGAAGGCUGGGGUCACUGGGCUAUGCCACAACAACAACAUCCUCCUGUUGAUGUGGAAAUCCAAGCUGGGGUGUUUCUGGCUCUAGAUGACUUAAUGGGUCCUCUUGAAGUUCAGGUUGUGCAGCCUGAAGAUGAUCACAGUGGUCUCACUCUUUCCCUGGGUCUGCCAAGUGCAAAUGUCAGUUCUGCUGAAUCUGCUAUUGGUGCACCAAGCAUCCCAGAUCUGGAUGAGCUUCUGGCAUCCCUUGUUCUACAUGUAGUCCAACCAGUUAUACCUGUGGCACAUAUAGCUUUGGAUCUUAAUCAACCCAUAGAACAACUGCCCCUGGAGGACUUUGCAAUUCCUCAAAUUCAUAUGCCUGCUGAUGACAAUCUUCCUCUGCCUCCAAGAGAAAUGCCAGUACCAGAGCCACUUUUGCAACAUAUGCUGCUGCUGCCUCCAAUAAUGUUGCAGAUGAGAUUGGGGCUUCUGCUGCUGCCCCUCCUAAUGUUGCAACUGAAGUUGCAGUUGCACCUGUGACCACUGAAGAUUUGGCUGAUACUGCUCCCAAACUUGCUACUCCAACACAGACACUAGGCAUUCAACCCAGCUCUGUGGCUCCAGUCUCUUUGGCCAAUAUGGAUGAUGCUGAUCCUGAGCAUCUUGUUGCUUACAAUCAAAAUGCAGAAAUCAACCAAAAUGCAAAGAUCUCCAGUUCCACAGCAGGUAACAGUUUAGAGGCCCCUCCUGGAUUUCCUUACCCUAUUUUCAAUGCAAGCUUUGCUGGCAAGCAUAUUCAGUUACUGCCAUCUGCAUCCUCAGGUCAGGAUGAGGAGUUCCUCUCCAAAGAAGGGUUGGAGCUUUGGAACGCUCACUUUGCUCCUGUGGAGUCAACAGGUAAAGUUACUCAGGUACCUAUUGAGUGGUGUAAAUUCAUCAUUUUUGCUCUAAUGACUGUGGAUAACUUUGACUGGGCAAAAUCUUUACUUGCAUCUCAAUUAUGGACUUAUAUCAUUGAAGGUUCUGCCAGUAAUCAAACUCUGCCAUUUGUAAUUCCUGAAAAGUGUCAAAGUGAGCAGAUUCUUUGUUGUAAGAAUUCAGUUGAGGAGCCAGAAGUUUCUUCUAAUGUUGCUUGUACUCCCCAGGCACUGCACAGGAGCAGCACCCCUCCUCUGCCACCUGCCAGCACCUCUCUUGCUCACACACAAAGGAAGAGGAAGGAUAAAGCUCCUAUGGUGGAAACUGAGGCUGCUGCAAAGGACUGUACUGAGGAGAUGCUGCACCAGCCCAAGAAGAAGAAGGAGGCUAAGGUUGCUGCCAAAGGGCCCUCCAAGAAGGCUGUUUUCAAGCCUUAAGUUAGCUUUCUGAAGAAAACAUGUUAGCAUCAAGAAGUUUUAGAUCUGGGAAUCUAUUGCACUUUUGGGAUGGUCUUCUAAUGGUGCUUAUGAGAAACAAUGCUUUUGUAAUGACUCUGAAAUCUGAAA